CUUUGGUGUCUUAAAAAUGUAGGUCAAAUCUGUUCUUCCAGGAGCUGAAAGGAAAAGGCAUUAUUUGGUUUGGUUAUUACUACAUCACUGAAGGAUAGCCCUUCGGGAAAUGGCUUCUCCUAUUCUAGAUGCAAGCAUCUGAAUUCCAUUCAGGCUCACUACCAGGUGCUGAUUCUUAAGCCUUGACUGACACAUGUGGAAUUAAGGAAGGGUGGUUUAGAAUGAUAUCAUCUUUAAAGCAGCCAUAUGAAAAAAGAAACCUUCACAGAAGUCCAUUCAUACGCUAUUAUAAGACGGACAAGUGAGAAGAACAAUGCGGAGACAAGGACAACUGACAGUGAGGCUGACUGUCCAUGGGCAGGCACUGUGCACCAGAUGCACACAAAUGUCAGUAAUGUGUUUUGUAAAAUGAAAGAGCUUUUUAAUUUAGAAAUGUGUAAUU
rnacentral:lncRNA from 1 species